UACGGAGGGUGCAAGCAUUAAUCGGAUUUAUUGGGCGUAAAGGGCGCGUAGGCGGAGAUAAUAGUCAGAUGUGAAAUCCUGGGGCUCAACCUCAGAACUGCAUUUGAAACUGUAUCUCUAGAGGGUAGGCGGAGAAAACGGAAUUCCACAAGUAGCGGUGAAAUGCGUAGAUAUGUGGAAGAACACCGGUGGCGAAGGCGGUUUUCUAGCUUAUUCCUGACGCUGAGGCGCGAAAGCAAGGGGAUCAAACAGG
rnacentral:rRNA from 1 species